UACGUAGGGUGCAAGCGUUAAUCGGAAUUACUGGGCGUAAAGCGUGCGCAGGCGGUUGUGCAAGACAGAUGUGAAAUCCCCGGGCUCAACCUGGGAAUUGCAUUUGUGACUGCACGGCUAGAGUGUGUCAGAGGGGGGUAGAAUUCCACGUGUAGCAGUGAAAUGCGUAGAUAUGCGGAGGAACACCGAUGGCGAAGGCAAUCCCCUGGGCCUGCACUGACGCUCAUGCACGAAGGCGUGGGGAGCAAACAGG
rnacentral:rRNA from 1 species